GGUUCUGAAUGGAAGGGCCAUCGCUCAACGGAUAAAAGGUACUCCGGGGAUAACAGGCUGAUACCGCCCAAGAGUUCAUAUCGACGGCGGUGUUUGGCACCUCGAUGUCGGCUCAUCACAUCCUGGGGCUGAAGUAGGUCCCAAGGGUAUGGCUGUUCGCCAUUUAAAGUGGUACGCGAGCUGGGUUUAGAACGUCGUGAGACAGUUCGGUCCCUAUCUGCCGUGGGCGCUGGAGAACUGAGGGGGGCUGCUCCUAGUACGAGAGGACCGGAGUGGACGCAUCACUGGUGUUCGGGUUGUCAUGCCAAUGGCACUGCCCGGUAGCUAAAUGCGGAAGAGAUAAGUGCUGAAAGCAUCUAAGCACGAAACUUGCCCCGAGAUGAGUUCUCCCUGAGACUUAGAGUCUCCUGAAGGAACGUUGAAGACGACGACGUUGAUAGGCCGGGUGUGUAAGCGCAGCGAUGCGUUGAGCUAACCGGUACUAAUGAACCGUGAGGCUUAACCUUACAACGCCGAAG
rnacentral:rRNA from 1 species